UUUCCGGACAAGCAGGACACAGGAAAAGUGACUACUGAACUCUGUCGAGACAGCCUGCAGGUGGAUUUGCUCCUGGUCAGAUAAGAGGAAGAACUUCUGCUGUCCUAUUCCGCUCUGUAUUUGUAAUUUAUUCUGUCUUUUCCCCCAAACAAACAAAAAAUUGACAAGUUCUACAUUUAUGGACAAGCAUACCAGGAAGAUUUGUGUGCUGCUUUCUGUGGCCAUUUGAAGAAAGUUAUCAAGGAGUUGUAUAUUGACAAUUUUUUCCUUAAAAAACUGUGGUUGGGAAACUAUAGAUUAUCAUGACUGAAUAUGAUUAUAUUUACUAUUAUUUCAAUAAAAUUUGUUA